GUCCACGCCCUAAACGAUGUCAACUAGGUGUUGGGGAAGCGAUUUCCUAGUACCGCAGCUAACGCGUGAAGUUGACCGCCUGGGGAGUACGGUCGCAAGAUUAAAACUCAAAGGAAUUGACGGGGACCCGCACAAGCGGUGGAUGAUGUGGAUUAAUUCGAUGCAACGCGAAAAACCUUACCUACCCUUGACAUGUACGGAAGCCUUCAGAAAUGAGGGUGUGCUCGAAAGAGAGCCGUAACACAGGUGCUGCAUGGCUGUCGU
rnacentral:rRNA from 1 species